rnacentral:rRNA from 1 species
CCCUUAGAUGUUCUGGGCCGCACGCGCGCUACACUGAUGCAUUCAACGAGCCUAUCCUUGACCGACAGGUCCGGGUAAUCUUUGAAUCUGCAUCGUGACGGGGAUAGAUUAUUGCAAUUAUUAAUCUUCAACGAGGAAUGCCUAGUAGGCGCAAGUCAUCAGCUUGCGUCGAUUAAGUCCCUGCCCUUUGUACACACCGCCCGUCGCUCCUACCGAUUGGGUGUGCUGGUGAAAUGUUCGGAUCGGCCGUUUGUCGCGGUUUCCGCGGCUCGUGGCUGAGAAGUUCAUUAAACCCUCCCACCUAGAGGAAGGAGAAGUCGUAACA